rnacentral:rRNA from 1 species
GAUGAACGCUGGCGGCGUGCCUAAUACAUGCAAGUCGAGCGAACAGACGAGGAGCUUGCUCCUCUGACGUUAGCGGCGGACGGGUGAGUAACACGUGGAUAACCUACCUAUAAGACUGGGAUAACUUCGGGAAACCGGAGCUAAUACCGGAUAAUAUAUUGAACCGCAUGGUUCAAUAGUGAAAUACGGUUUUGCUGUCACUUAUAGAUGGAUCCGCGCCGCAUUAGCUAGUUGGUAAGGUAACGGCUUACCAAGGCAACGAUGCGUAGCCGAAGUGAGAGAGUGAUAGGCCGCACUGGAACUGAGACACGGUCCAGACUCCUAAGGGAGGCAGCAGUAGGGAAUCUUCCGCAAUGGGCGAAAGCCUGACGGAGCAACGCCGCGUGAGUGAUGAAGGUCUUCGGAUCGGAAAACUCUGUUAUUAGGGAAGAACAAAUGUGUAAGUAACUAUGCACGUCUUGACGGUACCUAAUCAGAAAGCCACGGCUAACUACGUG